CUUUAUGCAAAAUGAUGGAUCCUUUUUGGAUCUAAAUACACACGGUUUGUCUGAACUAUUAAAAUAUAUAUUUAUAUCAUAAAUAAUGAAGGAAGCAAAUGGUACAGAAAACAUAGAGGUUUAUAGGUGGUUCUUUCUAAGACAAAUAGGUGUGUUGCCCACCCAGUAUUUCGCCCAGCUGGACAAAGUUGGUAACCUGGGACCACACAGUGGUAGCUGCCUACAGAGGUACCAAGGCUUUUAUUCCAUCAGCCCCUUUCCAGUUCUUCCUUCCAUGCUCAGAACCUGCCUUUUUCAGAGUGAGUUUUUCCUACAAGCACAGCAAAGGUGCUGCAUCACCCUCUGCAGGGUGUCUGUGAGUGUAUUAAGGUCUGCCUGGGGCCAUGUAAGCCCCUCGUGUUGGAACAAUCCCCUUGCCAUAGCUUCAUGCAUUCCCAUGCAUCAGCCAUCUCCACUCCCAGAAGCUCCAGCUGCUUUCUGGGGCUGCACCACCAGAGAUGGCAUAGAAUCCAUCAGAGGGGUGGAUGUGCACAGCAGGAGAGCAUCCAUCACCAGCAGCGUGUUGGAAUUGGGCAGCACAGGGUGGAUCCAGGGCUCUCAUCCAACCGACUGCAAAACAGCUGCCCUAUUUUAACUUACCAUUCCAGCCUGCAGAAAGACACAGGGUUCUGGAUGAGAGUGGCUGCGUAGAUCAGGAAACGAUGGACUCAGAAUCACAGAAUGACCAAGGCUGGAGAAGAUCUCUAAGACCACCCAGUCCAACCAUCCACCCAUCACCAGUAUUUCACCCCUAAACCAUGCCCCUUAGUACAGCAUCUCGAUGUUUCUUGAUCACCUCCAAGGAUGGUGACUCCACCACCUCCCUGAGCAGUCUGUUCCAGCACCUGGCUACACUUUUGGAGGAAAAAAUCCCUACUAUCCAACCUGAACCUCCCCUGGCACAUAAAAGCAUUCAAUAAAAAUAGGUUGGUAUCAUUAAAAAUGUGGGGA
rnacentral:lncRNA from 1 species